UCUUCAUUUUACCCUCUCAAAAUAUUCAGACAAUCGCCCACAAAAGAGACGAUCGCUGCAGAUAUUCAAAAAUCGCCGGACAACAAUCAAGGAUCGCCGGAAAUUGUAGGGUUCAGGUGCAUCGGCGUCGGUUCAGGUGCGUCGCUCCGGUCAGAUCGGUGGUCGGAGGUCCAACCGGAGAUUCGGUGUCGAACCGGUGACUGUUUCUUAGCGAAAUGGAAAAGGCCAACGAUCUUUUUGUCGCCGAAGAUGGGCCCAUACUUCACCGGAAAUUCGACCUUUUUGACCUUUUCGCCGGAGGUCCAAUUGUUAUGUGUGGGUCAUUUGCUGUGCUCAUGUUUUUUUUUGUUUCUUAAAAGGUUUUGAAAGUCUUCCCAAAUCCAAUAACUGUCACUACGGUUCAGUUUGCUGUUGGGAGUGUGAUUGUAUUCUUGAUGUGGACAUUGAAUAUUCACAAAACGACCUAAAACCAGUGCGGCACAUGUACUUCCAUGUUAUGAAGGAAUGAAUUUGUUAUGUAUGUACAUAUAAAGACUCUUUUGUUUUAUACAUGUGGACCAUAUAUUUAAGCGAAUUGAG
rnacentral:lncRNA from 1 species